CCGCUUAUAUUGCUGCUAAAUCGCACCUUGGGUAGCAGACGCUGUGGGACUUUGACGUGCAGACAUAUGGUCGCUCAUCUGAACGCUGAAACGAUCUCUGUUUGUCAAAAGAGGAACUGGCCAGGUGUGUUCCAGAUCCCACCCCCGCUCGGAGUAACUGAAGGAUCUGGGACACAUUAAGAAUCGUCUGGUUUUUGUAUACUGACCGGACUGGCGAGCUAACCAUAGAGGAUUCAGAAAGUCACCCAUAAUCUGAGGAAACAUCUC